AGAGAGAGACAUGCGCGCAUAUCAAUAAGCGGAGGAAAAGAAACUAACAAGGAUUCCCUUAGUAACGGCGAGUGAAGCGGGAAGAGCUCAAGUUUGAAAUCUUCAAGGUUUUACCUUGACGAAUUGUAGUUUAAAGAAGUGUUUUCUGCUGAAGUUUUGGUAAAAGUUCUUUGGAAUAGGACAUCAUAGAGGGUGAGAAUCCCGUAUUUGACCAUUAUUUUCAGCUUUGUGAUACACUUUCAAAGAGUCGGAUUGUUUGGGAAUGCAGUCCAAAAUGGGUGGUAAAUUUCAUCUAAAGCUAAAUAUUGGCGAGAGACCGAUAGCGAACAAGUACCGUGAGGGAAAGAUGAAAAGAACUUUGAAAAGAGAGUUAAACAGUACGUGAAAUUGUCAAAAGGGAAGCGUUUGACACCAGUGUUGUUUUCUCGAAAAUCAAUUAAAAAUGGCUCGAUUUUGUAUUGCUGAGACCUUAAAAGCUCACUGUACAUUUUUCGUGUCUUUUUUAAUGCACUUUUCGUUUAACAAGUCAACAUCAGUUUCUUUUGUUGUAAAAGGGUCAUUGGAAGGUGGCUUUCUUUUCGGAGAAAGUGUUUAUAGCCUUUGGCCUCUGCAAUCGGAAGAGACUGAGGUCUGCAGCGUAGACUCUUCGGGGUUAGAUACAUUUGUGCUAAGUUAUAGCUUUUUAUAGACAACUUGUUGACUAUAAUUAGUCUUGUAGCUUACUCGCUUAUGCUAUUUUACCUACGCUUAGGAUGUUGAAGAUGUAGCACAUCAU
rnacentral:rRNA from 1 species